UUAUUGUUAUAAAUCUACAAAGGCUAUUGUUAUAAUUAUUUCUACUGUUUAUAUUUAUAUCAGACUACACAGACCAGUUAUAUCUUUUUCUAGUUAAAAACCACUUUGUUUUUUAUGUCACACUUCCUGAAAAAACUGUUAAAAGAAUUAUAGGGCAAAGUUAAACUGACCUGAAAUCACCCAUUUGUUAUAAUCAAAAUAGAAAAUUAAUGGUCCAAUACUGAUAUAAAUCUGAAGAAUAGUAAUUGUCAAAGAAACUACAAAAUGUCUGCAAAAAUUCUCUUAGUUGUUAGUCUGAAGCAAAAUAACAAUAUCAAUGUAGGUUUCAUCAGACGAUCAUAUUUUAGAUAAAUUUACUAAAAUAAAGUACGACAAUAAAUCUGAAUUUCAUAUUUAAAAAUUGAAAAAACUAUUUUAUUUGAAAUAAAUUGAAAAUUUUAACUUUUGUACCAAACAAUUCGUGAAAUAUUGGAAAUAGCCUGCAAAGUGUUUAGGAAUCGUUCACCAUGAAACAGAGAAAACCAAAGACCGGCAAACAAGUUAAACUAGUAUUGUGUAAUUAUUUUUUACAUAAUGCACACUGGUUAGUUCAGUUUAAUAUUAUAACAUAUUAUUUUAUUUGUAAUAUUUUUAGACAUUUAUAUGAUUUUAAUGAAGAUUAAAUAGAUGAUAUAUUGACAUGUUUAUAGUAAUUGGUAAAAACUCAUAUAUUUUCUACAUAAUAAGAUAUAUUGUGCAUUAAUAUAAAUGUAUAUAUUUAUUUUAAAAUUCUACAUCACAUAAAAAUUUAAAAUUAAGCCAUUAACCUAAUUUGAAGUAGAGAUUUGAAUCUAAUUAGAAAGCAUCUUAGGUUUAAGACAGUGCGUCAUUUCUUAUUCACUUGACCUAUUUUAUAGGUUUAAUCAGUUUUUGAAUUAAUAACAUUAAUAAUCGACAUAUAAUACAUAAAAAUACAGGAGAGAAAGCAAAUUGCUAAACCAAUUUAAAGUCAA